rnacentral:sRNA from 1 species
CCGAUUUCUGCUAAGUUGACGGCCUGGGC